rnacentral:lncRNA from 10 species
CUCUUCCCCAUAAGAUUGCCUUAGAUGUCUUAUUUAUAAUAUUUUAAGCAGUCUCAAGUCCAGUGAGCUAUUGCAACACUAUGGCCUUGACAAUAACUAAAAGUUUUCUCACCUUGGAAUGGCAGGGCACGGAGAUCACUAUCUUUCAUAAAGCAAUGAAGAAUGGACAGGGAGAACUGCUGGCUGAAAAUAUGAGAAGCCAGCACAUCCUGAAAGAAAUACCCUAGAUCCGCUUAAUGGGAAACGAAGCAGCUGGAACCCUAAACAGUGAUGCCACUCUGUGCUGAUACACCUGACCCUCCACCAAUGAACUGGCCCAACUGGGGAAAUGGAAAAUGGGAGAAACUGUGAUUUCAUUUGUCCAUCUCCUGAUGAAGAUGAGUUUCAAGAGGAGACUCACUAUUCUAAGCUAACCAUUUUAAGUCCAUUCUCAUUUUGUGACAAUAAUUUAGGAGCACCAUAAAUAUAAACCACCUGUAGCCAAUGAGACAUAAGCAAGAUCAUCCGAAAUGAACUUCUGGAAAAUUUUCCUCAAUCUCAGAAGGAGAUUUAUUCCCUCCCCCUCACCAGAAUUUCCAAGGGUUUAUACCUUAAUGAAACUGUCACAAGUCCCCAAGGGGAGCCAACUUCUACUUCUAAUGGGGAGGAAUGCUUGCAUCUAUAGGUUCCAUUAGGUGCCUGCUGUGUGUCAAAUAUUUUCCUAUGCAUUUCACAUGCAUUUUUAGCACUUAACCUCCAUAUCCUCAGGACUAUCUCUAGAAACAUAGAUGCUUAAGAAAAUUAUCUUUUACACAGAGCUUGCUAAACAGAGGGUGGAAAUCAGACAGCUUGAACUUAAGAAUAGAGUAAAAAUGGAUAUUAAGAUACUUGAAAUAUUGAUUAGGAAUAUGUAUUGUGUCAAAUUCUGGGGUAAAAGAGAAAUAUAAGUUGAAAUUUUCAACUUUUUUUCUAUUUUUAAAACUGGAAUUAAUAAUCUGGG